rnacentral:lncRNA from 1 species
CAUCCUUUCUGCCAUUUAGAUCCUACUGUGGUCCUCUGACAGUUAGAACUGAAACUUGAGAUGCUGAAGGCAGUGUGAGAACAUGGGGACACUGGACCCUGGUCUGACGGGAGCCCUGAGGUCCUUGCUUAAUGAGUAGCUAGAUAGGUAAGUACAGACGUCUGCUUCUAAAACCUGGUAGGCUGCUUGACCAUCAGCUGCCUUCUGGAAGAGUUCUUGAGGAGAGCAUCCUCUUCAAAGCCAAGGGAGAAAAGAACCUCAAGAAAGAGAAACACCAGGGCUGGAGAGAUGGCUCAGUGGUUAAGAGCACUGUCUGCUCUUCCAGAGGUCCUGAGUUCGAUUCCCAGCAACCACAUGGUGGCUCACUAAAAAAUGAUACAUUGUACUGGAACUCAAUCUGUAGGUGGAAGCGUGGAUGGCAAUCAUUGCACACAAAUAAAGAGCAGGCUGGAAAGCCUUUAGCAGGUGAGGUGGCAGGAGCAGGG